rnacentral:rRNA from 1 species
CUACGGGUCGCUGCAGUGAGGAAUAUUGGUCAAUGGGCGCAAGCCUGAACCAGCCAUCCCGCGUGCAGGAAGACGGCCCUAUGGGUUGUAAACUGCUUUUCCAGGGGGAGAAACUUACGUACGCGUUACGUAACUGACGGUACCCUGGGAAUAAGCAUCGGCUAACUCCGUGCCAGCAGCCGCGGUAAUACGGAGGAUGCAAGCGUUAUCCGGAUUCAUUGGGUUUAAAGGGUGCGUAGGCGGACUAUUAAGUCAGUGGUGAAAUCCUGCAGCUCAACUGUAGAACUGCCGUUGAUACUGAUAGUCUUGAGUUUGGUUAAGGUAGGCGGAAUGUGUAAUGUAGCGGUGAAAUGCUUAGAUAUUACACAGAACACCGAUUGCGUAGGCAGCUUACUGAGCCGACACUGACGCUGAGGCACGAAAGCGUGGGGAUCGAACAGGAUUAGAUACCCCGGUAGUC